CUGAUUAAAUUUUUUUUUUGGAAGACCUGAUUAAUUUUCUUUUCUUAUGAAUAAUGUAUUAGGCCAACAAAUGACCACAAAGGUUAUCAGGAACUCUUUGUUUCAAGACCACAAAGGAAGAUAUCCCUUUAUUUGAAGAGGAAGAUUUUGUUGGUUGGCUGAACAAGAAGGUCUAAGUUAAAUUGGUAUUUGCUCAAGAGGGUGCUAUGGCAACCUCCCGCAUUAAUCCUAGGAGUUUGAGCUUGGUAAUGGAGCUUGAAGCUAUUGAAGUCUGCGAUGUUGAAAUCCAUGUGGAGGUAUAAGUGAAACCACCUCAAAGGCACAAUUCUGUCAUCUCUUUUGCUUCCGUAUGUUACUUAAUGUGUUAGAUGUUGCUCUAUUUCAUUAAAUUCAAUCAUUGAUGUCAUAUGGAUCAAAUAUGAAGCUUUAUUUAUUUUAAAACUGUUAUAUUGGAUUUUAUGAAGACGAUUGAGUUUUUUGGGAUGUGAGCAAUACCAUGAUCGAGU